rnacentral:misc_RNA from 1 species
UCCAACUUAUCGCUGGCGGUCUCCUGCGAGUUCCCAACUGAAUGAUGGCAACACAGGACAAGGGUUGCGCUCGUUGCGGGACUUAACCCAACAUCUCACGACACGAGCUGACGACAGCCAUGCACCACCUGUGCACCAGUCCCGAAGGAGGACCGUAUUUCUACGGCUUUCUAGUGCAUGUCAAGCCCUGGUAAGGUUCUUCGCGUCGCAUCGAAUUAAACAACAUGCUCCGCUGCUUGUGCGGGCCCCCGUCAAUUCCCUUGAGUUUUAGCCUUGCGGCCGUACUCCCCAGGCGGAUAACUUAAUGCGUUAGCUGCGCCACCGAAAGCCCAUGGCCCCCGACAGCUAGUUAUCAUCGUUUACGGCGUGGACUAC